rnacentral:rRNA from 1 species
GAUGAACGCUAGCGGGAGGCUUAACACAUGCAAGUCGAGGGGCAGCAUAGGGUAGCAAUACUCUGAUGGCGACCGGCAAACGGGUGAGUAACGCGUAUGCAACCUACCCUGUACAGGGGAUAACCCGGAGAAAUUCGGACUAAUAUCCCGUAAUAAUAUCCGGAGGCAUCUUUGGAUAUUAAAGUUCCGACGGUACGGGAUGGGCAUGCGUAACAUUAACUGGUUGGUAAGGUAACGGCUUACCAAGGCUAUGAUGUUUAGGGGUCCUGAGAGGGUGGUCCCCCACACUGGUACUGAGACACGGACCAGACUCCUACGGGAGGCAGCAGUGAGGAAUAUUGGUCAAUGGGCGCAAGCCUGAACCAGCCAUCCCGCGUGCAGGAAGACGGCCCUAUGGGUUGUAAACUGCUUUUCCAGGGAGAGAAACUUACGCACGUGUUGCGUGACUGACGGUACCCUGGGAAUAAGCAUCGGCUAACUCCGUG